rnacentral:lncRNA from 1 species
CCUCAGCUCUUCGUUUUCCCUUCUCGAACUCCAGUCUCAAAGGGAAAGCCGUAAACCUGCUUCUGAGUCUCAGUUUCCCCUCUGGGGUUGAAAACAACCAGCAGCCUGCAGGCUUGGCCGUGUUCCUGCUUCUCAACAACAGUUUAGGGGAAUAUACGGUCAGAGCUCUCAGGGCACCUUGAUGGGCUGAUAGUCACGAAGCACGGAACUAAAACAGUCUCCUGGCUACUAAAGGACAAGUUGACGUUUCAGAAGGAGAGUGCUACUCACAUCAGUUGAAUAGAGGCCAGGGAUGCUCUCACCAUGCACAGGACAGCCCCCCAUGAUAAAGAAUCAUCUGGCCCAAAGGUCAAUAAUGCUGAAAAACUGGAAUGCAAGGAUAUGAAGAUGAAGUAAACACACAGAAUCACUUAGCAUUGACUUGUACCGAUUCACAAUAUUCAGGAACAAAUCUGAGCUUUUCUGACCUUAAAGUUCUUGGAAAAGAGACCAGACCUGCAUCAAUUACAAUAAACGAGAGCAAUCACAAAGCAUAUGUGCUCCUUCUUUUAAUUUUAGUGAUAUGAAUAAGGCAUUUUGGAGGAAAACAACCCACAGGCUAGGUGUAAGUCCCAUGGAUAAGUCCAUGGCCACUCAUCUGUGCUGCCACCUCCAGCAGAUUAUACAAGAACCCAAGAAAAAGAAUUUAUCCUUCUAUGUUAAAGAAGCAACAGAAUUGGACAGAUGAGACAAGCCAUAGAAAUGCCAUGCCAUGGACUCAAGAAUGAUUUUGUAUCAGACUUCAAAGAUCAUACAGCAUUUCCAGAUUUCUUAACAUCAACAGCUGAAGGAAAAAUGAUGAAAACUGCAGAAAUGUAUAUUACCAUGCUGAUCUGAUGUUUGAUGGCUUGUAGAGUCAGGAGGUCUCAGCAGAGGUGCCUGAAGAAGACCUCUACCCAAAGCCUCAUAAUGUUGAACAUCUAAUUCUUGACAUCAGAGAUGGAGAGUUAGAGACUGGUUUUAUUUUCUAGCACUUUGGAUUUCUAAAAUGCAGAACUUGCAUACUGUAAUAUAAUGCUAUUAUCAAAGGUGAAGAUGAUAGUGAUGACAUUUCUAAAGCACAGUAUGCAUUGGAGUCUUACUAUUCACAGAUACCAUAGAAAUGGAUCUCCUCAAUCAAGAAAAAGAAUAUUUUUAAUAUCUUCAAGAUAUUUUUUCUUAGUUUUCAGUAUUUUCCCAGACACAUUUCUG